UACGUAGGCAGCAAGCGUUGUUCGGAGUUACUGGGCGUAAAGGGCUCGUAGGUGGCCAACUAAGUCAGACGUGAAAUCCCUCGGCUUAACCGGGGAACUGCGUCUGAUACUGGAUGGCUGGAGUAUGGGAGAGGGAUGCGGAAUUCCAGGUGUAGCGGUGAAAUGCGUAGAUAUCUGGAGGAACACCGGUGGCGAAGGCGGCAUCCUGGACCAUUACUGACGCUGAGGAGCGAAAGCCAGGGGAGCAAACGGG
rnacentral:rRNA from 1 species